AUUGAACGCUGGCGGAAUGCUUUACACAUGCAAGUCGAACGGCAGCACGGACUUCGGUCUGGUGGCGAGUGGCGAACGGGUGAGUAAUGUAUCGGAACGUGCCCAGUCGUGGGGGAUAACGUAGUGAAAAUUACGCUAAUACCGCAUACGAUCUAUGGAUGAAAGCGGGGGAUCGCAAGACCUCGCGCGAUUGGAGCGGCCGAUAUCAGAUUAGGGAGUUGGGGGGGGAAAGGCCCACCAAGCCAACGAUCUGUAGCUGGUCUGAGAGGACGACCAGCCAGACUGGAACUGAGACACGGUCCAGACUCCUACGGGAGGCAGCAGUGGGGAAUUUUGGACAAUGGGCGAAAGCCUGAUCCAGCCAUUCCGCGUGCAGGAUGAAGGCCCUCGGGUUGUAAACUGCUUUUGUACAGAACGAAAAGGUUUCUACUAAUACUAGGAGCUCAUGACGGUACUGUAAGAAUAAGCACCGGCUAACUACGUGCCAGCCGCCGCUGUAA
rnacentral:rRNA from 1 species